AUGACGACGGGCAGGGAGAAGAGGUGGAGCCUGGCCGGCGCGACGGCGCUCGUCACCGGCGGCAGCAAAGGAAUAGGGCGCGCCAUUGUGGAGGAGCUUGCCGGCUUCGGGGCGCGGGUGCACACGUGCUCCCGCAACGCGGCUGAGCUUGAAGAGUGCCGCCGGCAGUGGGAGGAGGAGGAGCUGUCUGUCACCGUCUCCGUGUGCGAUGUCUCCGUACGCGCUGCGAGGGAGAAGCUCAUGGAGACGGUCAGGGAAUCCUUCCACGGCAAGCUUGACAUAUUGGUGAACAAUGCGGGGCAAUUGUUUUUCAAAGUGGCUACAGAGUUGACUGAGAACAACUACUCGCAUUUGAUGGAGACUAACUUAGCGUCGAGCUUCCACCUCAGUCAGCUCGCACACCCUCUCCUACUCAACGCCUCCAUAUGCGGAGGAGGCAGCAUCAUCAACAUCUCCUCCAUUGCUGGCUCAGUUGGAUUCCCAUGCUUCACACUUUAUAGCAUCACAAAAGGAGGAAUGAACCAACUUACAAGGAGCCUCGCCACUGAAUGGGCUAGAGACAAUAUUCGUGUGAAUGGUGUUGCUCCAUCCAUGAUCAUGACUGACAUGAUUAAAGAUAAACAGAUAGAGCCGGAUGCCCUGGAGAAAGAGUACUCGCGGAUCCCAUUGGGGCGUAGUGGCAAGCCAACAGAGGUCGCGUCGAUGGUGUCCUUCCUCUGUAUGCCCACAGCAUCCUAUAUCACCGGCCAAGUUAUUUGUAUUGACGGUGGUCGAUCCAUUUGUUAG
rnacentral:rRNA from 1 species